CUGACAAUGGGUGUAAGAGAAACAGAUACUGACAAUGGCAGCAGGGCUGUAAAGAUGUUGCAUCUCUUUUCAGGCAUCCCUCAGCCCAUGAAUACUACGAUCCAAAUGACUACAUUGGAGACAUCCAUCAGGAGAUGGACAGGGAGGAGUUGGAGCUGGAGGAAGUGGACCUCUACAGAAUGAACAGCCAGGACAAGCUGGGCCUCACUGUGUGCUACCGGACGGACGAUGAAGACGACAUUGGGAUUUAUAUCAGUGAGAUUGACCCUAACAGCAUUGCAGCCAAGGAUGGGCGCAUCCGAGAAGGAGACCGCAUUAUCCAGAUUAAUGGGAUAGAGGUGCAGAACCGUGAAGAGGCUGUGGCUCUUCUAACCAGUGAAGAAAAUAAAAACUUUUCAUUGCUGAU
rnacentral:sRNA from 1 species